GGGAGAUGAUCUGAUUAGAAAUUCAAAUGAUCAUUGUAACCAUACACAGUUUGUCCUUGUUCAAUAAUUCCGCAAGUCAUAGUUGAAGGAAAACAUGGUUUAGAAAAAAGUGUGGUGCAUCCAACAAAUUAUAUUUAUUACAAAAAUUGCUAUCCACUACAUUAAUGCUGACUCCAAAUCUUCAAUAUGGAACUUCAAAAUGGCAGGAAAAAGGAGUUCCACUCAUUCUUCUGAUUGCCUUUGUCCUAAAACUGGAAUGUCUUCAUAAUGCUUCUGUAAUAUAAGGAUCACAAUUCAGGUCAGAGGUAAUACGAGAAAUGUGCUGGAGCAGCAAUUAGAUAUUGCAAUCAGAGUUCAUAAGUUGAGUUUCCCUCACGUCUCAAUUGAGAAUGAUAUUUAGAACAACCAAUUCAUAUUAAUUAAAGGCAGUUACGCAUUGCUAUCUGAAACUACAGUGGAGGGAAAUACACAAACAAGCAAUAUAACCCAAAAUCUCAAAUCAGUGAAAUCAGGAAAAUUGUUUCAUCCCAAACAAGAAAUAAAUUUGUUUGGCCUACAAAAUUGGACAAUUUAGAAGGCCAUCCAACAUUUUCUGAAACAAAUUCAUGAAAGAUAAUUUCCCUAAAAGGCUCUUGCGUUAAAUUCAAAAGAAGGAUAAGUUGGAAGGGGGGAUUUGUUGAAGUUGUUUCUACAAUUGAGGCCUAAUAAAUGGAACCCUGAAAACCUUGUUUCCAAAACAAAGGCAGUGAUAUUACAAAUUAGUCACACCACAUGUAUCCUUCUAAUUUACCUUACUUUCAAUGUGAUCUCCCUCCAUAAAAGCAUACAACAACUAAGAAAGGUAUUAGCAAGUUAACAAACUAGCUUUUCAACAAAAAAUCAGAAGUCCUAUAGUACUAGUAAACUGCUCUAGCUAACAAGAACCAUAUUCUAACUCUUGCUCAAUGUUGUGAAACCAAGCACAGGGAAGAUUCCCAAUAUUAACUGAAAACAAAGCAAAGAAUGACUAAAAAAGUGGGAAAGUCUUAUAUCUACUUGACAAGAACACAAAAUUAGGAAUUCUUCGGCAAAAUAUCAUUGUUGAUGUAUAAGACGGAACUAUAUCAUUUGUUUGCCCAAAUGUAUUGUUGUUAUUAGAUAAACACUGCAUGUUAGCCCUCAUUCCAUCACAAGAUAUUUCCUUGGCUAAUGAGCAACGGUAUAUGAGUGUUGAUAACUGUGGAAAAUUUUAUAUAUAAUUUAAUGAAAUAUCAUAUGGAUAUAUCAUUAAAGUUGUUAUCUGUUAAAUACAAAGCUUACGCGAUUUACAGAUUUAUAUAGCAACCUUAAAUAAAUAAGGAAUAUAGGAGAGUAUACAUACCCCAGCAUUGUUGUAAUCCCAAAGCUUACGAACUCCAUAAUCCACAGCCCGUUCACCGGCGAAAGCUCCAGCAAUAACGAAGGUGACGUAGAUGGAGUUGCGGCACAUGAUGAGCCUGUAGAGACCUUCAAAGAGGCCGCCUUGACUUCUUCGAGUGGCAUACUCCAUGGCUAUCGCUUUCAAUGUCGUGAGUCGGAUCUGAGGGUCUUUGGUUUGCAGAGGGUAACAACGAGGGACAGAGAUGCUGUUCGUUAACUGGGAAUCGUUAAUCGGAACGAUGAUGUGUAUUGGAUACCCAUAGAUAAAAACGGGUAGUCAGUGAUCAAC
rnacentral:misc_RNA from 1 species